GCGAGAGUGGCGGAACUGGCAGACGCACUGGGUUUAGGGUCCAGCGGGAUGACCGUGGGGGUUCGAGUCCCCCCUCUCGCA
rnacentral:tRNA from 1 species